rnacentral:rRNA from 1 species
GACGAACGCUGGCGGCGUGCUUAACACAUGCAAGUCGAACGGAAAGGCCUGUCCUUCCUUGUGUUGGACGGGUACUCGAGUGGCGAACGGGUGAGUAACACGUGAGUGAUCUGCCCCCAACUUGGGUAUAAGCCUGGGAAACUGGGUCUAAUUCCCGAUAGGACUGCAGGGUGGUGCCUGUGGUGGAAAACGAUUUUCUAGUGGUUGGGGAUGAGCUCGCGGCCUAUCAGCUUGUUGGUGGGGUAAUGGCCUACCAAGGCGGCGACGGGUAGCCGGCCUGAGAGGGUGGACGGCCACAUUGGGACUGGGAUACGGCCCAGACUCCUACGGGAGGCAGCAGUGGGGAAUAUUGCACAAUGGGCGGAAGCCUGAUGCAGCGACGCCGCGUGGGGGAUGACGGCCUUCGGGUUGUAAACUCCUUUCGACCGCGAGGAAGCCGCCUGGUUGGAAGGGUGGUGACGGUAGUGGUAGAAGAAGCACCGGCUAACUACGU